rnacentral:rRNA from 1 species
AAUUACUGGGCGUAAAGCGCGCGUAGGUGGUUCGUUAAGUUGGAUGUGAAAUCCCCGGGCUCAACCUGGGAACUGCAUUCAAAACUGACGAGCUAGAGUAUGGUAGAGGGUGGUGGAAUUUCCUGUGUAGCGGUGAAAUGCGUAGAUAUAGGAAGGAACACCAGUGGCGAAGGCGACCACCUGGACUGAUACUGACACUGAGGUGCGAAACGUGGGGAGCAAACAGGAUUAAUCCCUGGUAGUCAAGGGCG